CACAAGCUCCUUAUCGUUAUCAACAAAGAAGAAGAAAAAUCCAUCAACUUUGCAAGCAAGAGGAGAAUGGCGUUGAUUCAUGUGGCAGUGUUGAACACCUCCUUCCUCUGGAAACAGCCAGUCCUGAAGGCAUUCCCGAAUGCUAACGCCAUGUUUGGUGUGAAAGGAGGAAGUGGGGGUCGUGUGAGUGCCAUGGCCAGUUACAAGGUGAAGCUGAUCACACCAGAGGGAGACAAAGAAUUUGAAUGCCCAGAUGAUGCUUAUAUUCUUGACCAGGCUGAGGAAAUAGGCAUUGAUCUUCCCUACUCAUGCAGGGCUGGUGCUUGUUCUAGCUGUGCUGGCAAAGUUGUGGCUGGCCAAGUAGACCAAUCAGAUGGUAGUUUCCUUGAUGAAACUCAAGAGAGUGAAGGCUUUGUUCUCACCUGCAUCGCUUACCCCACUUCAGAUGUUGUUAUUCUCACUCACAAGGAGGAGGAACUCACUGCCACUGCUUGACUCACUCAGUUUCUUCCCUUCUCAACCUCAUCAUCUUUUUUCUUUUCUGUCUUGUGCAAUUUUCUCAGGAUUUUACUAUAUAUAUCAUGUUUCAUUCUUUGUUUUAUGAUCGGCAACUUAUCACGAAAUUUUUUGCCUUGAUGCUGACUUGCAUUGUAGCUUCUUAUCUCAGUUGUUAUAGAUGAUGAUUUCAUGCAUUGUGUGGCCAAAGUUUUUAACCUUCAUAUCACUUAAAAAUGAGAGAUGAUAUCUGAUUGUGUCUGCUGCAUUAGGUAGAUUCCACUUGUGAUAAAAGAAUUGAAGCAGGCUAAGGAUAUGGAAUGGGAGGCAUUAGAGAAAAGAACAUCAUUGUAGUUGAAUUCCUUGCCAAAAUUAAGGAAUGAAGUCAAUCAAAUGCAAAUGGUUAUAUUCACACUUUUGUGUUUUCUUUCUGUUCUACCUUUUACUUUUCCCUAGUAUUGCCAGAAUCAGUCAUGUGAACUGCAUAAGGGUAGACCAUUUGAAGACAGAUCCUUUCUCAUUGAUGCAUAAUUGUCAAACGCUAAAACAUAGAUAGAGGGUUCAUCAAGUUCCACAUUAAGAAGAACGUUUCACAAACAUACCCAAAAUAUUCACAUUCUUCCCUGCCAAGCCCAUGAAACAUAUAUCAUAGGAUCCAUGUCUUGUAAAUCAAAUCAGUUCAUCCAUUGUCUUUACUCCUCUAGUUGAAUCAAGUAAUUGACCAAUUUUGUACUUCAAUUCUUCAGGUUUGCUUUCUUAGCGUUAUCUUUAAGGUAGCUGUUCCUUGUUUGAUCCUAACACACUGUCAUCUUCAAAAGAACUUUUACUGAGGUCCAUACUUCUUCAAGGAAACUCAAAGGUCCUCAAUUAUAUGAUAUGCAUCCUGAACAGCAGUACUGCAACACAAGUAUGAGAUGGAAAUCCGCUUACAGAUAUUGAAUUUGCAAGGGAAUAAAUGGAAGAAAGAAAACUGAACAACUGGAAUAAAUAGUUGAAAUAAGAUUGUUCAAGUAAUAACAGUGUUUCCAAAUUAAUCUUUAUUACUGAUGAAGUAGUUGAAGUGAGCAAAGUAGUUGAAGUGAGCAGAAGGAAAACGUGGUAAAAAUACGUGUGGUGAUAAGAGAUGAGUUGAAGCCUAUAACAGUGACACGUGGCAGAUAAGGUUGUACGUGAUUUCACUUCAUUUCAUUGGUUUAUGUAUCAGAGAAGAAGAAGAAGAAGAAAAAGAAGGAGAAGAAGCAGCAACAGCAAGAGGAGAAUGGCAGCUCUGUGUGGCCCUGCAUUGAACAGCUCCUUCCUGAGGAAGCAAGCAGUGAACAUGUCAAGCAUGAAGGCAUUCGAAAACGCCAACGCCGUGUUUGGUGUGAAAGAAGGACGAGGUGGUCGUGUGACUGCCAUGGCCACUUACAAGGUGAAGCUGAUAACCCCAGAGGGAGAAAAGCAGAUCAAAUGCUCAGAUAGUGAAUACAUUCUUGAUGCUGCAGAAGAACAAGGCCUUGACCUUCCCUACUCAUGCAGGGCUGGUGCCUGUUCUUCUUGUGCUGGAAAAAUUGUGUCUGGCAAAGUGGACCAGACAGACAAUAGCUUCCUUGAUGACGACCAAGUUGAUGCAGGAUUUGUUCUCACCUGUAUUGCUUACCCGACCUCUGACGUUGUCAUCCGCACCAACGUGGAGGACGAACUCAAUGAUUUUUAAAUCUUGUUUUCUUUCAAAUCUCAUGUACUGUUGAAUAAGGUGAAUCUUGUUGCUUUCCUUUCUGCUUCAGUUAUGAACUCUCAUGUUAUUGCUUUCCUUGCCUUCUUAUAUGAACUAUUAAGCUUCGAACGAAAUCACCAGCAAUUAUCAUGUGGUAUAUGUUAUACUUGCAAUUACACGACAAGUCCAUAUGUGUGGUCGUUCUUGAUUGGUAACACCAUUCAUUGACAAGGAUAAUUUUGUAAGCAAUAAAUAAAUUAAAAAGAAAUUUCAAUUUACAAUGAAUCCAUGAAAAACAUUUAGCACAAUUAAAGCAGUGGACGACCAUAAACCAUACUCAGAUUCCAUAUAUAAAGUUUUAUAUACUUACCAAAAAAAGGAAAAUAAGAAGAUAUAACGAGGCAUAAGAUGAUGCCACGUGGCAGAUAGGAUUGUGUGUGGCCUCAGCACCUCAUAUAGGGUAUAAUAAGCACACUAUUUCUGCAAAGUGAAGGUCAGAAUUCUUAUCCUUCAGCAAGUAGAAGAAGAAGACGACGACAACGACGCUAGCAGCAUUGAAGAAUGGCGUCGAUGGCACCCGCUCUCUGUGGCCCUGUCUUGAACACUUCCUUCCUCAGGAAGCAACCACUGAACAUGGCAAGCAUGAAGCCUUUCCAAAACGCUAACGCCGUUUUCGGUGUGGAAGGAGGACGUGGAGGUCGUGUGACUGCCAUGGCCGCUUACAAGGUGAAGCUGAUCACCCCAGAGGGAGAACAGGAGUUCGAAUGCCCAGAUGAUGAAUACAUUCUUGAUGUUGCAGAGGGCCUAGGCCUUGACCUUCCCUACUCAUGCAGGGCUGGUUCUUGNUCUUCCUGUGCUGGCAAAGUUGUCGCCGGCAAAGUCGACCAGUCGGACGGUAACUACCUUGAUGACGACCAAAUUGGUGAAGGCUGGGUUCUCACCUGCGUUGCUUACCCAACCUCUGAUCUUGUUAUCGAGACCCACAAGGAGGAAGACCUCGUUGCUUAAAUCUUAUCAUCAUCGCUGCCUCUACUUUAUUAAGUUUCUUCCUUUCCCAGCCCCAUUGUCUUUUUCCCUUUAUUCUGUGCCAUUUUGUCAGGAUAUAUACGUAUGUUAUGUUUGUUUAUGAACAACUUGUUUUGCACUAAUUCGUUAAUUACUUCACCUGUACGUUGUAGCAGCUCAAGUUCAUUGCUGUCUUACUGUUGUUGCCCACUUGAUUGAAUGACAACUCAAUUUUUUUGGUAGAUGAUUAUGAUGUUAGUGCGGAGGAUUAGAGUUCCCAAAUGUUAGGAAAUAAAUUGUGUGGUUCUCUUCUUAUCGCUUAGAAGAGAG
rnacentral:lncRNA from 1 species